CCACAUGUAUCGACUCAUAGAACGUAGAUGUCCCGUGUUGUAAAUCGGAGGGAUUAAACACUCUUUUAAGGCAUUAAACUCUACGCUAGUGCCUGUACUCCUACACAACACCAGAUCAGUGUCAUUCCUUCUUUCCCCUAAACCCUCGAAAACCCCUUGUUUCGUCGCUUUGUCGCCGACUCGAUUUGAGAAAUAUGGCUUGGCGCUCAGGAUCGCUGUCUCGGUCGUUGAUUUCGACUGCUAGGACCUCGUCGCUCCGCUCAUCACCGCCCCUCCCCCGCGUACGCACGCCCCCUCUUGCCGCUCCGCGCGUCCAGUCCCGCCGCUUCUCUUUCGCUACUGCCCCCAGUAGGAACUUGGGAGAACUGGGAUGCGCACAGUCACUCCUGCCACUGGGCAACGUGUUGGCUACGACCCGCCUCACAUCUCACCUUGCCGUCAACAUACGGGCUUUUUGUGAGCUGUCCCAUGGUACCUUCCGCCGUACUUGUCAGGAUCGCUAGUAGUCUCUUUGAAGGAGUGGAAAAGACGGGUGAUGCACGAGGACUUUUGAUCAUCCCAAAGGCAGGGAGAAUGAUGCUUCACCCCAUAGGUACAUGAAGGGCUGCCGGAUAAGCACAUUUUAGUGCAAGGAGUUAAAUUGGGGCAGUCAUAGAAUGGGUAUCGUGUAGGAACUUCAAAUUUUAGUAAAAUUUGUAAGAUGUUAUCCGAGUUGUGCCAUUUUGAAGAAGAAACCUGGAGUUUUUUCUUUAUUGCGUUCAACAACUUGCAUAAGUUCUGGCAAUUCAAAUGUAGACUGAUAUCAAGUAUCAUUAAUUUCUGGAACGCAAAUGUUUACAUUUUUCCUGCUGCA